rnacentral:rRNA from 1 species
CCUACGGGUGGCAGCAGUAGGGAAUAUUGCUCAAUGGGGGAAACCCUGAAGCAGCAACGUCGCGUGGAGGAUGAAGGUUUUCCGAUUGUUAACUCCUUUUGUUCGAGAAGCUAGUGACGCCAUCUAACGAACAAGCACAGGCUAUCUCCGUGCCAGCAGCCGCGGUACUACGGAGGGUGCAAGCGUUACUCGGAAUCACUGGGCGUAAAGGGCGCGUAGGGGGGAUAGCAAGUCAGAUGUGAAAUCCUAGGGGUUAACCAUAGAAUUGCAUUUGAAACUGUUCUUCUAGAGUAUGGGAGAGGUAGGGGGAAUGCUUGGUGUAGGGGUAAAAUCCGUAGAGAUCAAGAGGAAUACUCAUUGCGAAGGCGACCUGCUAGAACAUAACUGACGCUGAUGCGCGAAAGCGUGGGGAGCGAACAGGAUUAGAUACCCCUGUAGUC